UUACUUAUAUUAAAACAAAACAAUUUUGGCCACUUGGCAUGUUCUUAAACCACUUAUUGCCACCUGGCAUCCAAUCCUUUCUUCUUGAAACAAUAUGAGCGGCAAAACCACACAAUGACUCCGUUCUUUUUCCUUCUCACAUUCUAAACCCUAAUAAUCUUCACAGCCAUUCUUCCUCUCCUCUUCACGCCGUUGCUGCUGCUUCUUUUUCUACAUUCCUUUUUUCCCAGUUUCUUUCAUCCGUCUCGCAUCCAAAACCCUAAAUCUCAUCCAGGCCCAUACUUGAUCGUCGUUUCAUCUUCUUAGGUUAGGGUUUCUCCUUCUUCUUGAAUUAUUGUUUCAUCUCUUCAGCUUGAAACUUCACAAUAGUUAGCUGCUGAAUUCUAAAGGAAGACGAAGACGACUAUAAUAAAUAUAGGUUUAGAUGUUUGCUCUGGUGGCUAUCUAGGGUUUCAGUGUCGGCCGACGGCUGUGGUAAGAUCCCGUUUUUUUCGCUAUAUAAUACAAUUAGUAUUGGUGUAAUUAUACUGAUGAAUGUUAUGAUGGUCUGAUCUUUUGCAAUUAUCGCAUUGUUGCAGCCAUAAUCUUAUUUUCUGGUUUAAGAUUUCAGCAGGUCAGGUUUGGAAUCUUCCUCUCAUAUUUGCUCUUCCUUUCUCAUGUUGUUUUUUACACAAAAUUGAAGUUCUAGGGUUCGAAUUUGCAUACGACUUCACAAUUUGCCAUUUGCAGAUCUACUCGCUGAAUCUAAAAUCACGGGUUUUGCUUCCCUCUUCUCACGGUUGCCGCAAAAAUGUAAUAUAAGAUCUUUUCAAUGGCAGCCAUAUGUAUUCCGUGUUGUUCUGGUGUUCUCCCUGAACUUCCUAUUACGAGUACCUGAUCAACUCCCAACUUAUAUUUUAUUUGAGAAUGCAGAAGAGGUUUCUUGCUUUCUAGAUAUGCAUUCAGCAACUACUAUAAAACUUAAGUGUAUUCUAGCUCACGCGGUCUUAUCAGGCCAGCCAAAACUGUAUUUUAUCUGGGUUUUUUUAAUAAAUUAGUAAUGUGUUAGUUUUUAAUCUCCGCCCGUCUUCUACAUGUAAGGAUUUUUUUCUCUAUCUUUAAUGUUCAUCUGAAAUCU
rnacentral:lncRNA from 1 species